UGGAUUUUAAAAUGUGCUAGGGUUUGUUCAUGUUGUCCAUUUUGUGUAUGCCUUGCCAAAUUGCUUGUGAAAUGAUGAUACAUUAUCCAAUGAUUCUCAAAUUUUUUGUGCUUAAACUAGACAUGUUCAUGGUGAUUUUGGUGUAGAGAUUGUAAUUUUCUCAUUACUGGUUGUGGAGAUAUGAUUUUUUGAAUAGGGGUGUGACAAUUUGUGUCACACCAUGCAUGUCCA
rnacentral:lncRNA from 1 species